rnacentral:rRNA from 1 species
AUGAACGCUAGCUACAGGCUUAACACAUGCAAGUCGAGGGGCAGCAUGGUCUUAGCUUGCUAAGACUGAUGGCGACCGGCGCACGGGUGAGUAACACGUAUCCAACCUGCCGUCUACUCUUGGACAGCCUUCUGAAAGGAAGAUUAAUACAAGAUGGCAUCAUGAGUCCGCAUGUUCACAUGAUUAAAGGUAUUCCGGUAGACGAUGGGGAUGCGUUCCAUUAGAUAGUAGGCGGGGUAACGGCCCACCUAGUCUUCGAUGGAUAGGGGUUCUGAGAGGAAGGUCCCCCACAUUGGAACUGAGACACGGUCCAAACUCCUACGGGAGGCAGCAGUGAGGAAUAUUGGUCAAUGGGCGAGAGCCUGAACCAGCCAAGUAGCGUGAAGGAUGACUGCCCUAUGGGUUGUAAACUUCUUUUAUAAAGGAAUAAAGUCGGGUAUGCAUACCCGUUUGCAUGUACUUUAUGAAUAAGGAUCGGCUAACUCCGUGCCAGCAGCCGCGGUAAUACGGAGGAUCCGAGCGUUAUCCGGAUUUAUUGGGUUUAAAGGGAGCGUAGAUGGAUGUUUAAGUCAGUUGUGAAAGUUUGCGGCUCAACCGUAAAAUUGCAGUUGAUACUGGAUAUCUUGAGUGCAGUUGAGGCAGGCGGAAUUCGUGGUGUAGCGGUGAAAUGCUUAGAUAUCACGAAGAACUCCGAUUGCGAAGGCAGCCUGCUAAGCUGCAACUGACAUUGAGGCUCGAAAGUGUGGGUAUCAAACAGGAUUAGAUACCCUGGUAGUCCACACGGUAAACGAUGAAUACUCGCUGUUUGCGAUAUACAGUAAGCGGCCAAGCGAAAGCGUUAAGUAUUCCACCUGGGGAGUACGCCGGCAACGGUGAAACUCAAAGGAAUUGACGGGGGCCCGCACAAGCGGAGGAACAUGUGGUUUAAUUCGAUGAUACGCGAGGAACCUUACCCGGGCUUAAAUUGCAGAUGAAUUACGGUGAAAGCCGUAAGCCGCAAGGCAUCUGUGAAGGUGCUGCAUGGUUGUCGUCAGCUCGUGCCGUGAGGUGUCGGCUUAAGUGCCAUAACGAGCGCAACCCUUGUUGUCAGUUACUAACAGGUUCCGCUGAGGACUCUGACAAGACUGCCAUCGUAAGAUGUGAGGAAGGUGGGGAUGACGUCAAAUCAGCACGGCCCUUACGUCCGGGGCUACACACGUGUUACAAUGGGGGGUACAGAGGGCCGCUACCACGCGAGUGGAUGCCAAUCCCAAAAACCUCUCUCAGUUCGGACUGGAGUCUGCAACCCGACUCCACGAAGCUGGAUUCGCUAGUAAUCGCGCAUCAGCCACGGCGCGGUGAAUACGUUCCCGGGCCUUGUACACACCGCCCGUCAAGCCAUGGGAGCCGGGGGUACCUGAAGUGCGUAACCGCGAGGAGCGCCCUAGGGUAAAACUGGUGACUGGGGCU